rnacentral:rRNA from 1 species
GAGUUUGAUCAUGGCUCAGGAUGAACGCUAGCGGGAGGCCUAACACAUGCAAGCCGAGCGGUAUUGUUUCUUCGGAAAUGAGAGAGCGGCGUACGGGUGCGGAACACGUGUGCAACCUGUCCUUUAUCGUGGGGGAUAGUCCUUUACGAAAGGAAGAUUAAUACUCCAUAAUAUAUUGAACGGCAUCGUUUAAUAUUGAAAGCUCCGGCGGAUAGAGAGUGGGCACGCGCAAGAUUAGCUAGUUGGUGAGGUAACGGCUCACCAAGGCAAUGAUCUUUAGGGGCCUGAGAGGGUGAUCCCCCACACUGGUACUGAGACACGGACCAGACUCCUACGGGAGGCAGCAGUGAGGAAUAUUGGUCAAUGGGUGCAAGCCUGAACCAGCCAUCCCGCGUGAAGGACGACUGCCCUAUGGGUUGUAAACUUCUUUUGUAUAGGGAUAAACCUUUCCACGUGUGGAAAGCUGAAGGUACUAUACGAAUAAGCACCGGCUAACUCCGUG